rnacentral:rRNA from 1 species
AGCGGUGGAGCAUGUGGUUUAAUUCGAUGCAACGCGAAGAACCUUACCUGGUCUUGACAUCCACAGAACUUUCCAGAGAUGGAUUGGUGCCUUCGGGAACUGUGAGACAGGUGCUGCAUGGCUGUCGUCAGCUCGUGUUGUGAAAUGUUGGGUUAAGUCCCGCAACGAGCGCAACCCUUAUCCUUUGUUGCCAGCGGUUAGGCCGGGAACUCAAAGGAGACUGCCAGUGAUAAACUGGAGGAAGGUGGGGAUGACGUCAAGUCAUCAUGGCCCUUACGACCAGGGCUACACACGUGCUACAAUGGCAUAUACAAAGAGAAGCGACCUCGCGAGAGCAAGCGGACCUCAUAAAGUAUGUCGUAGUCCGGAUUGGAGUCUGCAACUCGACUCCAUGAAGUCGGAAUCGCUAGUAAUCGUAGAUCAGAAUGCUACGGUGAAUACGUUCCCGGGCCUUGUACACACC